UACGUAGGGGGCAAGCGUUGUUCGGAAUCAUUGGGCGUAAAGCGCACGUAGGCGGAUCGUUAAGUCGGGGGUGAAAUCCCAGGGCUCAACCCUGGAACUGCCUUCGAUACUGGCGAUCUUCGAGUCCGGGAGAGGUGAGUGGAACUCCGAGUGUAGAGGUGAAAUUCGUAGAUAUUCGGAAGAACACCAGUGGCGAAGGCGGCUCACUGGCCCGGUACUGACGCUGAGGUGCGAAAGCGUGGGGAGCAAACAGG
rnacentral:rRNA from 1 species